GCCCCCUCCCCUCGGCGCAGAGGAGCUGCUGCCCGCCCGCCUGCCUCGCUUCGCCGCGCUUUCGCCCGGAGCAAGGUAUGUGUAAGCAGAUAUUGGAGAAAUCUUUUCACUUUGCCUACAGCGGGGUGCACUCAGCCUGCCUUCCCUCCAGCUCAUGAAGUAGACCAUCCUAAUUCAGUUGCCUCUCAGCUUCAGAGCCCCAAGUGACCAGUAGCAGCGUCAGAAGGAAGGAGGGUGAGGAGAGAUGCUUGUGUGAAUAUCUGAGCUUGAAGAGCUUCAGUUACUAGUAAGGAGGCUCCCCUUUUAACUUUGAGAUACGAACAUAUAUAUUUCCAUGUGGAAAUUUAAAGUGGGGUUAAAUGGAGAAGAACGAAAUCUCCAAAUACCUGUAGUGAGGAGUCUGAGUCCUUCAUGCAGAUGGCAUCUGCCCUGGAUGCCUCAGAGAUGGUGAAUACUUGGUAAAGUUGAUGGCUGAAGCUUCAGGUGGCUGUUCAGAGCUGAGGAGUAGGGGCAGAGGAAAUCAUGAGGGGAAAAGUCUGGCACUCACUGCCCUUGGGGGAAGCUGCAGGUGGAUUUUUAGGGACGGCUUUACUCAGAAGGAACAUCUUGAAAGGGAAAAUUGUGUAAAAACUUGCAUUUUUCCACUUCUGAAGAUAACUGCAACUAGGAAGGAUUCCUCCACAGAGAAAGGCUAACGAAAAGCCAAUUACUGGUGACGUGAGCUCAUGGGGAUUUAUAAGAACCCAAUUUUACUUCCAUUUUUUGUGAUUCUCAUCCAGGCCAACUGGCGCAGAUGAGCUUUUGGCAUGCAGGUGAGAGCUAGUGCUUUCCUAACCAUCUAACUUCAUCCUUUCUUCACACUCAGAGAAGCAUAUUUUAGUGAAAAAUUCAUCCCAUGCUUUUUUUUUAUCUGCAUACCACAGCCAUGUCUGUUAUGCAUUACGCACAACACUCAGCAAUUGUCUGUUCUAACCACAAUACCUAACCACAACAUGUUGCUCAGAAUAAGCCUAGCAUACAUCAGUAACCUCUGCAUAGCCUGCACUGCAAGCACACCCCACCUGCUGUUAUUUUGCUUGCUGCAGCUGCCACCAUACCUGCUCCUUGUGCAACAGCUCAAGAAAUCAUGACAGUGUCUCAGGCCUCUCCUGAGCCUGCCUGGGCCAGGUAAGCCAUCUCUAGAUGUCACAUCUCAAUGCUUUGCAGAAACUUCUAGACUUACAGAAAAUAGAUUUUUUUUGCUUUUUUUCCAAGGAUCUUUUUUUUUUUUUUUUUUUUUUUCCAAUAACCAAUACUUCAUAACUUACGAGGUUUUUCAUCUUGGAGACUAACAUUCCCUGUGGCACCAUGUUAUGGCCUGUAUUUGGGACAAGCCGUAGAUCAUCAAGCAUUCUUGGCCACAGGUGCGAGGUGCCUGUCUCAGAGUGAGCACCUGCCAUUCAGCACUAACUAGCAUUCUGGGCACACAGGCAUAUUCAGGAGGCAUCUAGUGCAGAUUAGCUUCAGCAAAUCCAAGGUGGGUCUGUUUACAGUCAAGAUCUUCAAAGCCACUCUCCACAGCCUGUAUCCCCACAUAAUCUUCUUCAGCAACACUUGAAAAUAUUGUCAGCUCUUUACCCCCUGUGGACUCCCCCGUUGCAGGGAACAAAAGACAGGAUAAAAAAUUCCCACGGGCUGUGUCUACACAAUUCUUAUAACCACACUAAGAAAAAUAUCAGCCAUUGACAACUCUCCACCCUUUCAGAGUGGGUAGCUGGCACUGUCUCCCCCUCUGCAGAACCUUGGCUUCUGCAAAGAUGGACAACCUGUGUUUAUUUCAGGCAUUGCAGCUUUUUAAUCUUGAAUGAAGUGCCCCCAUCCAGCCAAGCUGCACACAUGCAGUGCUGGGAGGGACUGUGCAGUCUGCUUGCUGACCACCUGGACUUCCAGGAUACAGUGGAUGCCAGUUUCCCAUGUUCUGUGAGAAGCCCUGUGACGGGAUGCAUCUCUCACCAUCUCUGUAUGAGGGGUUUGCUGAACCCUUCAAUGUGGAUUAGCCCCAUAAGAUUAUGUCUUUCAGUCUGUCUGUAUCCAUCUCAGCAUUGCUGCUGCCUCCAAGCAAUCCUGAGCCCUGGAAGUGUAGGCAAAUGUGUACAGCAACAGCACAGCCUCACAAGCACCACCUGGGUCUGCAGGCACUGCUUCAGUGAAUGUUCAUUCCAACCAGUGCUCACAGGGCAGAAUUUUUCUCAUCAUACGUGACCAAAAAACCCCCACUCCUUUCCUUCCUUCCUCUGCACCUCCUCAAGAAGACAAAAGCGAGAGUUUCCUCUUUAUACAAAAAGCCCAAAAAACCCCAAACCUCCCACUUCCUUCCAACGUCAUGAAAAGCACCAGUUUAUCACUCCUUUCCACCAACUUACCCAAAGCAUACAACUCUCCAGCUUUUCAACACCUCAUAAGUUUCGCUCCUCCCCAGCCUCUGAGAAGUCGGCAGGCUGAGGAAUACUCCUUGCAAAGGUCAGUGAUCAAGCCUGUGCCAUGAAAGGCCCACACAAGAACAAAACCCAAGCCCUCUCAGGCAGAUUGACAGUAUCUCACUGCUUUGCUGCCUGCCCCAUAUCCCUGCCCAACAGAGGCAGCCCACAUUCCCUGCCAUCCCUCUCUAGGAGGCCAGCUGUGGAGCUGAGGUGAGGGAAGGAAAUACUUGCCCUCAAAGCCCUUACUCAAAAUAGAUGGCAAGCAGAAAACGUUAAAUAAAAACAUGUUGUAAAAUACA